rnacentral:rRNA from 1 species
GAAGAACCUUACCAGGUCUUGACAUCCUCUGACAACCCUAGANAUAGGGCUUUCCCUUCNGGGACAGAGUGACAGGUGGUGCAUGGUUGUCGUCAGCUCGUGUCGUGAGAUGUUGGGUUAAGUCCCGCAACGAGCGCAACCCUUGAUNUUAGUUGCCAGCAUUCAGUUGGGCACUCUAAGGUGACUGCCGGUGACAAACCGGAGGAAGGUGGGGAUGACGUCAAAUCAUCAUGCCCCUUAUGACCUGGGCUACACACGUGCUACAAUGGACAGAACAAAGGGCUGCGAGACCGCAAGGUUUAGCCAAUCCCACAAAUCUGUUCUCAGUUCGGAUCGCAGUCUGCAACUCGACUGCGUGAAGCUGGAAUCGCUAGUAAUCGCGGAUCAGCAUGCCGCGGUGAAUACGUUCCCGGGCCUUGUACACACCGCCCGUCACACCACGAGAGUUUGCAACACCCGAAGUCGGUGAGGUAACCUUUAUGGAGCCAGCCGCCGA